UUUCCGUAGGUGAACCUGCGGAAGGAUCAUUAUUGUAUAACCGAGGUGCGAGGGCUGUCGCUGACCCGAAAGGACGUGCACGCCCGAGUGUCCCCAUACACAUCCAUCUCACCCCUAUGUGCACCACCGCGUGGGUCCCCCUUUGGCUUGUUCGUAGGGGGGCUUACGUUUUCACACAAACUUUGUAUGCAGUGUAGAAUGUAUUUUUUGUUUUUGCGAUCACGCAAUCAAUACAACUUUCAGCAACGGAUCUCUUGGCUCUC
rnacentral:misc_RNA from 1 species